rnacentral:misc_RNA from 1 species
ACGCAGACGCAUACAAGUACACACGUUGAGCAAAGCCGCACUGGCCAAACAUGAGCGCGGCAAGUGCGCGGCACAACGCGCCAGCAACUCCUUCGACGGCGGCGUCGCCGUACAUUUGUCUCUCAACGCAAUGCGACGGGCUGUACCGCGUUGGAGCACUGCCGCACCGCUUCGCUUCUAUCUCCGAGCAGAGCGUCUACACCCGUGCCGCCGAGCAGCUGCGCUUUAUUACGCCGCCGCCAAACCUGAUGCCAGGCGUGGGUGAACGUACCACUAGCAGCGAUACCGCUGCUCCGUGCAAGAGGGUAGGCAACGACGUGGACCCCUUGCUGCCGCACGUGUGCACGAGCGCGCAGCCACUACACCCCUUUCCAUCUAUCGAGUACUUUGAGGCUGCCCGACGAGCAGCACUGGUGCAAGCGGAGAGGCGAGCAAAAGCGCACCGCUGGUCUUCUACCGAGCCGACAAUGGGGUCGGGUGAGGCGGCAGCAACUGCGUCGGUGCUGCUCAACGGACUUGUCCCCAGUGGAUCGCUAUUGGCGCAACGCACCUACCGUCACGACUACGAGGGCCACCGCUGUAAAGAGCACAUGGGUGCCACUGCAGCGGCACCGCCUGGCGAUGCAGCGGAGCAGACAGUUGGCUCAUUGCUCAAAGACUCGCCAAAGACUCCCCCGCCAUCGCCUCAGUUGAUCUUUCCCUCGCCAGUGCUGCUCCGUGCGGUGGCGCAGCUGGUGCUGACACUGCAAGCCUCCGCCAGCACCUCUGCUGCACGAUUCACGCUGGCGCAGUACCGCGAUGUGCAGCUGCUCCCGUGGCGCAGGAGUCUCCAUGAGGCAAAAGAGCCGGCGGCUUCUUCUGCACCACGCCGGUUCCAUGAAGCGGUUGUGGUCUCCGUCCUGCCACAGGUUGUGGCAGACUGUGUUGCUUCUCGCGCACGAGCGGCCCCUGGCCAAACUAGGAGUUCUCUAUCUGCCUCUGUCGAAGACGGAAACAGCGCGACUCUGUACGCCCUCACCCCUUCUGCAGGCCCCUCCGCGCUGAUGGGCACGCGAGGAGCGAAGCGAGCGAGAGAAGAAGCACAGGGGGAAACCACACAAGAGGGGAAAGCAGUGAGUGCAGCCAGCGCAGCCAUUGUACCGGGCGCUGUGCUAUGCGAGCGGCUUUCGACCACUAACGAGGCGCCAAGAGCGCAAACCGCUCUCGUUCGCUACGCCGCCGUCUGCGCAGAUGCCUUUGAAAGAUGGGUACCGCCCAUCGGAAAGAGGGAUGCAAGCCCACCGCCUACGCCUUCAACGGCGUCCUGUGUCCCAGAGACGUUCUUGUACGAGGAGGAGUCGGCGUGGAUGACAGACGGCAUCUUUUACCCCCUCUUCUCGCUUCCCUUGAAGCCGCUUGCGGAGCCCGCUGUUGUAGCCGGUGGCAAUGCGCCCGCCGGGGAGAACAACAGCAGCGGGCAGAGCACGGCAAACGUGACAUUUGUGAAGACCAGCGCGUUUUUGUUUCUGUCGUUUCUCGUGCACCGCAGUUGGUGCGCGCACGUGCACUCGGCUGUAACGCAGGCGAUGGCGGCACAUCAGCUGCCCUCCAAGAUCAAGCAGCGCGCAGGCUCACUAGGGCUGACUUUCACCGGGACUCACGUGACACGUCUGCCCCCUGUGCGAGAGGUGCGGCGAUCGCCACAGUACGAGUGGAGGUCGGCGCUAGUCUAUCGUGUUCACGGCGAGAGGGAGGCGGAACGCGCCGCAAGCAAUGCUGUGUGCCGCAUCGAAGGCGAUGAAGGAGUUCGCGGGGCUGCUCUGGCGAUCGGCAUAGCAGCAGAAUCCCUACUCUGCGGGCCAGUUCUGUGGCAGCUGACUGUCCUGGUAGUGAACCGAAAUGCGCAGCUGCAGUGGUGCAUGCACAGAACAAGUCUAGCCACCUGUGUCGGAGCCGACUCAGCAGCGACUUCUUUGCCACAUGAUGCACACAAGGACAUCCUGGAGGGGUCUGGGACCCUCGAUGACCUCCUGCAGCGACUAUAGAGUUGCCUGCUGACCCGCCGGGCGCAUGACGGUGAACACACAUAUAUAUAUAUAUAUAUAUAUAUGUAUAUUCAUCUUGCUCGGUUUGUGUGUGCUGAUGUGUGUAUGUGUGUGUCUGUCUGAUGAGGCUUUUGUGGCG